UCCAAAUGGAUUGCAGUACAUAAAAAGGAAAAAAAAACAAAGGUUUAUAGCAAAAGAGAUUUGUUAGUGAGUGUUAUUGUCGAGUACGGUAAAAAUAAUAAUCCGAUAAGGCGGGCGGAGAGUAAUGCGAUGGGAAACGGACCGAGCCGAGCCGGUAAAAUCGAAGCCACUAAAGCCUUAAUGACAUCGACAAGACCUCACGCGCUCAUCCCGGCGACCUUCCUCCUACACUCGCGGCUCAUGCGGCCGGCGCUCUCCUCCCACCGACGCGACCCCUUUACUCCCUAACUACACCCACUCUCUCUCUAUUCCCACCCACGCGGACAAACCCCCACCCCCCAAUUUCCAACCCCCAACCAAACACUUUCCGUUCCCGACGAUGGGUGACCUAACGGACCCCCAAAUGACGCCGCCCCAUGCCACCGCCACCACCCCCUCCUCCAACCCUCGCCCUAUGCCUGUCCGCGAAGACUGCUGGAGCGAAGACGCUACCUCCACUCUCGUCGACGCCUGGGGCCGCCGUUACCUCGAGCUCAACCGCGGGUGCCUCCGUCAGAAGGACUGGCAGGAGGUCGCUGACGCCGUCAACGCCCUUCACGGCCACACCAAGAAGACCCACCGCACCGACGUCCAGUGUAAGAACCGCAUCGACACCAUCAAGAAGAAGUACAAGUUCGAGAUGAAUAGGGUUUCGUCCUCCAACGGAGCCCUGACCUCUUCUUGGCCUUUCUUCGAGAGGCUCGACGCUCUCAUCGGAUCUAACUACAAGAAGCCGUCUCCUUCGCCCCCGGUCGCUGUUCCGUUGCCUUUGGGGUAUCGGAAGACGCCGUCUCCGGCGACCGUUGUGACGGCUGUGGCGCUGCCGCAGAAGCGGUCUGCGUCGUCUGCGGCGGUCGACGAGGGUUUCUUCAGGAUGAAUUACUCGGCUGUGGCUGCGGCGGCAGCGGCAGGGGCCGAGGAUGAUGACGACGAGGACGAGGAUGAGGACGACGAGGUGAACUAUGAGGUUGAUGAGGAGGUUGAGAUGGAGAGGGAGAGAGAUAGCGGAGGCGAGAUUGGAGGUGGAGGAGGAGGAGAAGGGUUGAAGAGAUUGGCGAGAGCGAUUGAGAGGUUUGGGGACGUGUAUCAGAGAGUGGAGGCGGAGAAGUUGAGGCAGAUGGUGGAGUUAGAGAAGCAGAGGAUGCAAUUCGCCAAUGAUUUGGAGGUGCAGAGGAUGAAUAUGUUCAUGGACACGCAGGUCCAGCUCGAGCGGAUCAAGCAUGGCAAGCGAUCGGGCUCUAAUGCUUUUAUGCAUGGAUGUGAACGUUUGUAAAGUUGAGCUCUGAGAGUUUUAUAUAGAGUUCUAUCAAUUCGUAGAACAGAAGAACAGAAACAUAUCCUGGUUGGUAACAUUAACAGUGGAGUGAUAUGUUUUCCACGAGGGUAGCUGGGCUUAUUGAUAGCAAAAGAUGAAGAUUCCUAUUAAAGUUCUGAGUUAGAUGCUUUCUGAUCUUUCUUGUAUUGCUUGAAGUAAAUUCAUGCUGCUUGUGAUUGUGGUUUAGAGUCACCUGAGUAUCUCGUGGCGUGUUGGCAUUUCUUGAAUCAGAGUUUUACUGCAAAUUUGAUUUGUAAGAAUGUUUUUGUGGGUUCUCGUG